rnacentral:rRNA from 1 species
AUCGAACGCUGGCGGCAGGCCUAACACACGCAAGUCGAACGGUAACACCCAGCAGCUUGCUGCUUCGCUGACGGGUGGCGGACGGGUGAGUAGUGUCUGAGCAACUGCCUGCUGGAGGGGGACAACUACUGGCAACGGUAGAUAAUACCGCAUAACGUCGCCAGACCAAAGGGGGGGGCCUUAGUGCCUCUUGCGAGCAGAUGUUCCCAGAUGGGAUUAGCUAGUGUGUGGGGUAACGGCUCCCCUGGGCGACGAUCCCUAGCUGGUCUGAGAGGAUGACCAGCCACACUGGAACUUAGACACGGUCCAGACGCCUACGGGAGGCAGCAGUGGGGAAUAUUGCACAAUGGGCGCAAGCCUGAUGCAGCCAUGCCGCGUGUAUGAAGAAGGCCUUCGGGUUGUAAAGUACUUUCAGCGGGGAGGAAGGGAGUAAAGUUAAUACCUUUGCUCAUUGACGUUACCCGCAGAAGAAGCACCGGCUAACUCCGUG